CUCACCAUCUUCCAGAACCUCCAAGAAAAUUUUACUAGAGGAAGUAAAGGUCUUCACUGGGACCUGUGGAGUUUUUGCUAAGCACAUGGGCAGCACACAGACUCCCUGCCUAGUGACUGCAGGGAUGGGCCUCCCACUUCUAGGAGCACACUGGAACUAGGGCAGUGAGAAAGGCAAGCUGUCAAGAAGUUAGUCCGAUUCAAGAGAUUACCUCACCCACUUCAUCUUUCUAGUAUCCUGGGAACAACACAGCUACAAUCACUUUAAAUGGUAAGUCCUUUUUCUGGUUUAUUUUCCUAACCACACAACUGCAGGUCUUU